GACGAACGCUGGCGGCGUGCUUAACACAUGCAAGUCGAACGGAAAGGCCCUGCUUGCAGGGUGCUCGAGUGGCGAACGGGUGAGUAACACGUGGGUGAUCUGCCCCUUACUUUGGGAUAAGCCUGGGAAACUGGGUCUAAUACUGGAUAGGACCAUGCUGUAGGUGGUGUGGUGGAAAGAUUUUUUCGGUAAGGGAUGAGCUCGCGGCCUAUCAGCUUGUUGGUGGGGUAAUGACCUACCAAGGCGUCGACGGGUAGCCGGCCUGAGAGGGUGGACGGCCACAUUGGGACUGAGAUACGGCCCAGACUCCUACGGGAGGCAGCAGUGGGGAAUAUUGCACAAUGGGCGCAAGCCUGAUGCAGCGACGCCGCGUGGGGGAUGACGGCAUUCGGGUUGUAAACUCCUUUCAGCCAUGACGAAGCCUCUUUUGGGGUGACGGUAGUGGUAGAAGAAGCACCGGCUAACUACGUG
rnacentral:rRNA from 1 species